CGACUGCCACCCCCACCCAGCGUUCUCUGAGCCUCAAGGCUCCCCAGGCUUCCCUUCUACCUUCCACCCAGUGUACCCCACUCACCAGCUCUCCAAAGAGUGAAGGAAGAGGAGCUGACAUUCCGGAUGGAGCAGGAGUCUUCAUGGAGGUCAUAGUGGCUCCCAUCGCCCAGCGGCAGCCUGUCUUUCAGCCACUGGACUGAGGGGUGAAGAGUCCUAGUAGGACGUGAGAGGAGACCACCAUCAUCUUGAUUAGGUGGUCUCUCAGCAGCCCACAUCUACUCAUCCCGCCCCUGGGGGCCCCCCAGCAGCUCCCACUCCCAGUGUCCCUGAGCUUUGUUGACCCCCACAACUGUGGUCUGGAGGCUUUGGGCAGGAGAGGGCUCUGGGCUUUUCCUAAUCAUGGGGUCAGGACCUUGGGCUAUGUGGGAGGGGCAAGCAUAAGCCUUUGUACCCCUGGCUGGAGGCCAAGCUGAGAGCCCAGGCAACAUCACAGCGUGGAGCCAGCCUCAGGGACAGGAGGUGGGAGUGGGGCCCGUGCUUGUCCCUCUCUGACCCCUCUACCUGCCAUGGUCUGGCCGGGGCCUCCUCGAGGCAGGCUGGGCACUGGUGCCAACCCCCGGUUCCACGGGGCUCCUUGGCUGAGCAGACUGGUCCCCCAGGAGGUGGGCAAGACUCACUCUCUGUCUUUGUGGCCGGUCAGUCAGGGCACCAGGAUGGGUCAGAGGCUGCUGCCAUCCCAAAGGAGAAAGUUAAACAAGAACAGGAUGAGUUAACAUGUAACUUUGCACCAGCUGCCUCAUGGGUGCUGGGGACGCCAGCACAGUAUCAUGUGGCUGGAGUGGGCAGGGCCCAGGCGGCUGGGAGGGGCCCUCGGAGUGAACUUCACCUGUUCCAGGGUCACCAUGAUGGAGGGAGGGACCAUGGAUGCACACCCCUGGCACCCCUCAUGAGGCUGGG